GACGAACGCUGGCGGCGUGCUUAACACAUGCAAGUCGAGCGGGAUCCAACCGGUGGCAACACCGGGGAAGAUCUAGCGGCGAACGGGUGAGUAACACGUGAGCAACCUGCCCCGAAGACUGGGAUAACACCGGGAAACCGGUGCUAAUACCGGAUGUCGUCAUUAGGCCGCAUGACCUGAUGAUGAAAGGAUUCAUCGCUUCGGGAGGGGCUCGCGGGCUAUCAGCUUGNGGUGGGGUAACGGCCUACCAAGGCGACGACGGCUAGCUGGUCUGAGAGGACGACCAGCCACACUGGGACUGAGACACGGCCCAGACUCCUACGGGAGGCAGCAGUGGGGAAGUCUUGCGCAAUGGGCGAAAGCCUGACGCAGCAACGCCGCGUGGGGGAUGAAUGCCUUCGGGUU
rnacentral:rRNA from 1 species